AUUGAACGCUGGCGGCAGGCCUAACACAUGCAAGUCGAGCGAGCGGCGGACGGGUGAGUAAUGUAUGGGGACUGCCCGAUAGAGGGGGAUCACUACUGGAAACGGUAGCUAAUACCGCAUACUAUCGGAUAACCCAUAUGGGAUUAGCUAGUAGGUGAGGUAAUGACUCACCUAUGCGACGAUCCCCAGCUGGUCUGAGAGGAGGAUCAGCCACACUGGGACUGAGACACGGCCCAGACUCCUACGGAGGCAGCAGUGGGGAAGAUUGCACAAUGGGCGCAAGCCUGAUGCAGCCAUGCCGCGUGAAUGAAGAAGGCCCUAGGGUUGGAAAUUACUUUCAGUCGGGAGGCGUUACCGACAGAAGAAGCACCGGCUAACUCCGUGCCAGCAGCCGCGGUAAUUC
rnacentral:rRNA from 1 species